ensembl:lncRNA
CAGCCUGUCUCUGGCCAUGUCCAUCCAUUUGUUAAUCACAAAGCUCAAAACAUCCAAGACAGGUUUCUUGAACACAACACAAACAAAUUGUCAUAUUUGUCUAAUAUUGAACUAAUAUUGAAUUGCAACUGAAGCAAGCAGCAAUAUCUAUCAGCACAGUUUAAAAUAUUUCCAAAACUUUUCUGAUGCCUUAUAAGCAGUAUCAGUGAGUCUUACAGUUAUCCUGCUAUAUGAAUUUGUUAUAAAUUCGACGCAUAUAAGCGAUAUGGUAAAAGUGCCUUCAUUGUGAGGAACUCCCAGCCUGCAUGAAUCGAACUAAUUGCUGCCAUGGUAACCAGCUUACUAUUGAAGCUAGAUCCUCUUUAGCUGCUGUGACCAGGUAUCUAGCAAAGAUUUCAUGUGCUGCAGGGUGAGGAAUACGCCAGCUCAAUGGAUGUCAUGGAGGAAAACAUGUCACCAAAGAAGAUGCUUGAGAAAAUUGCAGAGCUGGAAUACAGUCAGAGUCUGCUGAGAGAUCAAAAUGCUGACAUGAGGAAAUUGCUGGAUGCCGCAGAUGAUGACAUGGCAGCGCUGGGCUCAGAGAAUAAGUCCCUCAGAAAAGUAGUUGAAACCAUGGAGAACUUUUUCCAAGACUUGCAACAGACUGAAGCAGAGCCUUGCAUAGCUCUGGCAGAUGACUUCGAGGCACAUAGAUGGAAUGUAGAAAAGAUCCAUGAAUUGGAGAAGGAAUCCACCGUAAUGAAGGAACAAUAUGAGAAACUAACUGCAAAGUUUCAAAGGGAAGAGGACCAGUCAAAACUGGAGCACAAGGAUGAGGUUAUUCAUCAGGCAAACUUGCAGUUGAAGCAAUUACAUGAAACUGUGGAAGAGUGCUUCAACAACAUAAAGGACCUCAGGCAGACAACGCAGGAGCUGAGUAAGCAGAUGGAGGACAGACGAGAUGAGGCCACAUUUGACCUGAUGAGAGAGAAGGAACGAGUGCCCGACCGCCCUCUGUCCUUUGCAGAGGAAAUUAAACUGCUGGCCUCAACAGCUGAAGUGAAUGACGGCAUGACAAACUCCACAAAUCUUGGAAAUUGUCUACAGGAGGAACCUGAGACUGAGGAGCUGCUGAAACCUCAUCUUCUCACAGUUAACCUUCAAUCUAAAAGCUGCCCAGGUACUUUGGAGGCAGCGAUCUGGAGAGUAGGUUUCUUUAUGCUGUGCAUCUUCAUUCUCAUGAUUUUAGCCAUUGUGGCUUCAGGAUGCUUUGUAGGAACAUCUGACUUCUCUUCCAUCACCACUUUGUGGGCUAGCGCCCACCUGAUGUUACAGCCCUACUUGAGUGUACAGUAUGGGGCCUUGCCUCCCAUUUGAGCUUAACUCUCUCUCUCUGGUCUGUUCUUGUAUUUCUGUUCUUGUAUUUUUUGUAAACAUGAGUUCAGAAAACAAACAAAUAAAACUUCAGCCUCAGGGUCUUGCAUGAGCUUGCUGACUGUCUGUUACACUGUUUUGACAGAAACUUCUAGAUUCUAAACCAGCAGCAUUUAGAAGCUGUGCUGAUCAAUAAAAUCAUAUGAGCAAAAGCAAGUAUCUUAACUACA